rnacentral:antisense_RNA from 1 species
GGUUAAUCUGUCCAACUUUUUGGGGUCAGUACAACCCGAGGCUGAUCCUCAACCCUGAACAAGUUGAGGUUAGCCUCUUACUCGCCGCAAGGCAAGGAGUAAAAAGGCAUG